UGGGGAAUAUUGGACAAUGGGCGAAAGCCUGAUCCAGCCAUGCCGCGUGUGUGAAGAAGGUCUUCGGAUUGUAAAGCACUUUAAGUUGGGAGGAAGGGCAGUAAGCGAAUACCUUGCUGUUUUGACGUUACCGACAGAAUAAGCACCGGCUAACUCUGUGCCAGCAGCCGCGGUAAUACAGAGGGUGCAAGCGUUAAUCGGAAUUACUGGGCGUAAAGCGCGCGUAGGUGGUUCGUUAAGUUGAAUGUGAAAGACCCGGGCUCAACCUGGGAACUGCAUACAAAACUGGCAAGAUAGAGUAAGGCAGAGGGUGGUGGAAAUUACUGUGUAGCGGUGAAAUGCGUAGAUAUAGGAAGGAACAAAAGUGGAGAAGGCGGCAACCUGGGCUCAUACUGACGCUGAGGUGCGAAGGCGUGGGGAGCAAACAGG
rnacentral:rRNA from 1 species